AUCUACAUGCCUCUGGACCCCCCCCCCCCAGGAUAAUUUGCAAUCAACACACACUUAUUCAUCAUACCUGCAGAAGAUGCCACACUGUUCACAUCAGACAUGAGAUGCGGGACUGAGGCUGAGAGCUAGCAAUCUACUUGAGGGCCCCUACUGAGUUUGUGGCAGAAGUAAGAUGCGAAGCAAGGACUUUCCUGAUUGCUAAGCCUCUAAAGCAUGAAUCCCAUGCACACACUUCCCUGGGGGUAAGGUCACCGUAGAGCAAUUCUGCACCAAACUUGUACAGAAGGACUGCUGCCAGCCCCUCUGCCACAUUAGUUCUCUAUGCAGGACAAAUCACUCCAACCCUUGCCUUGUGACAGCCAAACGCAAGCCGGGAGAGAGCAUUUUGCAAAGAGUUGGUUCAAACCCGACACUAACAAAUGAAUGAGCAGCAGGCUAACACUCAUGAUGCAGAACAAAAGUCAAAGGUGCAGGGUCCUUGUCCCAGACAGCAGGCACAGAGCUGCCAGGAAAUAAAUAAUUGGCAAAGCAAUUCUGUUGCGUGAGGCAGAGCUCUGGGAGAAAAUGGAUUUCUGGGGUUCUUCAAGUCCUCCAUUAACCAGCUCUAAACAACUGAAAGCUAAAAGGACUUCUAUAUACAUCCUAAAAUCCCAUUAUACGUCUCACUCUCAGGGCACUCACUGUAUGCAGCUGCACAAAAAUAAAAUGAUUAUCUUU